rnacentral:rRNA from 1 species
UACGGAGGGGGCUAGCGUUGUUCGGAAUUACUGGGCGUAAAGCGCACGUAGGCGGAUGUUUAAGUCGGGGGUGAAAUCCCGGGGCUCAACCCCGGAACUGCCUUCGAUACUGGACGUCUGGAGGUCGAGAGAGGUGAGUGGAAUUCCGAGUGUAGAGGUGAAAUUCGUAGAUAUUCGGAGGAACACCAGUGGCGAAGGCGGCUCACUGGCUCGAUACUGACGCUGAGGUGCGAAAGCGUGGGGAGCAAACAGG